GGCACGCAGAACAUUCAUAGUGAGACUUCCGAUUUCUCCCUUUCCUCCCCAAAAUCUCCAUUUUCUCCGACCACCGUCUGCUCGGAGCAAUCGCCGGAGACUAAAAAUGUUCGGUCGACUCGCUGCGCAACGUCUGAACGAGAUCCGAACGUCCAUCCGCCGAACUACUCAGGCAUCGCGAUCUUUUUCCACUGCACUCAACUAUCACAUUGAUACACCGGACAACAAAACGGACCUUCCUUGGGAGUUUAAUAAUGCAAACAAGGAAAAGGUGAAAGAAAUACUGUCUUUCUACCCAUCCAACUAUAAACAAUCUGCAGUGAUUCCUUUGUUGGAUCUUGCACAGCAGCAAAAUGGAGGGUGGCUACCUGUUUCGGCGAUGAAUGCAGUGGCUAAGGUUGUUGAAGUUGCGCCAAUUCGUGUAUAUGAGGUUGCAACUUUCUACACGAUGUUCAACAGGACAAAAGUUGGAAAAUAUCACCUUUUGGUUUGUGGCACAACACCUUGUA
rnacentral:misc_RNA from 1 species